AGUAAGAUAUCACAUGUCGAAAUCGGGAUUUAUUUAAAUAAACAGUACAAGCAAAUAUGAGCACGUGAUUCACUUUACAGUUACAGAAUCACCGAGUCAGAGAAAAUACAUCAAUAAUUCUCCUCUACAUUUUUUUUUCCUUUCUUUUUCUUCUCUUUUUCUUUCCAUUAAACUUUGUUCCCCAACUUCUAUACACCACUAUCAUUAUGUUUUUCUUUCUUUUUCCCCACCAUUACACUCAAGUCUUCACCAAUGAAUUAUUAGUAUCAACCCCAGCCAACAAACUCCCUACUUCAUUCACUGUCCGUCAAGUUUCAAGGGGAGUAAAGUACUCUUCUUCUUGCCAAACUUCAAGGAGGUAAGCCUUCUUUGAAUUCUCUUUAAUGCACUCAGGAUUCCACCUACAUUUAUGAACAGCAACUUGGUUAUUUCAGUUCAUUUUGCUGCAUAUAAUCCAACAACGAAACAGCCAUUCAACAAGACAUUCAAGGUCAAGCACGAGAUUAAUAAUCAGUCAAGGAGCUACUGUACCACAAAAAGUUUCUAACAGGUUGAGCAGCUGCCGAUGGUGAUGAAGUGACGAGCGGGAUUCUUUUGUCUUAUUAUGUAUUAAUGAACUCUAGGGUUACAUGUCUUCAUACAUGUAAUCAGAAUCAUAUUCCGCUGCGUACUCAGAAGUUUUAUGUUUAUUUGGCUAAGUCAGAGAUAUCUGAACUUACUAGUUAUUUGAGUCUAUACGACUAAACUUCUGUUAUAUUAUAAAUAUUCCUUUUGUUAAAUUAUGAAA